GGCCAUUUUCCAUUGUGUCUCUCCAGGGCGGGGUUAUCCAAAUUCUUCCAUAUUUACUUCAUUUAUGCUACUUGCUAUGAGACAGGGAUGCCGAGAUGCAGCAAUUGCCAAGGCAAGAGAACAAACCCAGAGGAACGCUGCGAACAUCCGCUCGCAGGAGGCGUGCCCCUCUCCUUUCCCAGGCAGCUCAGUAAGAGAUCGAGUUCCCUUGACAAAGGCUGCAGAUGCUCCGUGAACACCUUUUAAGAAGCAAAUGCUGCAGAACGCUCUCCAUAACAAAGACUGUUCCUCAACUAUCAUUUUAUUCCCGUGAUUUCUCCCCCAUUAUUCAUUUUUCUCAAAUUUGCCCCUUCUGCCUCCUGGCUGCGUCCUCCUACUCCUUCCACAGGCUACAGGCAAGGCCCCCAGCUGGGCAAUCCACAGCACUAGUUACAGCUCAGGAACAAUUUUCCCUAGCUCCACUUACCAUUAAAAGAGAAACAGAUGGACAAAAGACACCGAGCUACUCGUAACCAGCUCCUAGAAAACUCUCAGCAUGCCAGCACCUGCCCUGGCUCUGUGCAGAGCUUCACUACCGCUCCGAUCGUGCACUGACCCCCAGGACCGGGCUCCUGCCACCCCACCAGCACUCAGGUGCAUGGGCCCCUCAAGCCCUUCACAGCUCCUGGCCCCCAAAGGCAUGCUGUCCUUGUCAGCAUGCUGUCCUUGUCAGCGUGCUGCCCCAGCCGUUGGCACCGCUCACCUCCCUUCACUGAGCUCCUUCUCCCUUUUCCCCUGCUCUGUCGAAGUCACAGAUACCUCCGCUCCAGUUCCACCACUGGGCUGGGCUCAGGUACGCCGCAGCUCAGCCCAGCAGGCAAGGAAAAUCUUUGUGUGUCUCAGUACAUGGAGAGGUGCCAGCUGCAGGCAGGCAGGUUGGUGUUUGGCUAGCUCGUACGUGCUAAUAGGGACGUUGCACUCUUGCAGGGCAAUAAUUUCAGGCCCAACAAGGAAACUGGGUAAUUACAGAGAAAAGCAGCAGGUGCUUCAAUCAUGCCUACUCUGUGUCAGGUCUUUUAAAAUGUCAUUGAAAAGAAAUGGUGGGAUAAUGAAGGCCUUGACUCAUUUUCAAAGCAGCUAAGUACAAGGCAGGCCAGCCAAAGGAAGGAACAAGGUUGGAAGUGCUACAUCAUCCUUCCUGCUUCCCGGGGGCUGACCCCAGAGGGUGUGAGAUCUGGGGCAGGAUGGCACGAGCACGGGAUAGAAUAAAAUAGGAACACAGUCAUCUGAAUUCUUUUGCUGUAGACGUCUCUGAUUUAAGUACCAGCCUCGACUUUACUUUGGUUGAUCUCGUUCAUUUUGUAUUUUAUUUGUGGCUCUUUUUCACCAUUUUCCCUUUUAUACAGCAUCAGAAAAGCAUUAACUCACAACUUUGCUCCAUUCCACUGCCAUAACUGCCUAAAUAUCCUUCCUGAUGUUUUGACAUACAUCAUUUGGACAGACAAAAAUUUAAACCAUGGAAGCUAGAGGAUGUUUUAGGAAAUUAGAAAAUAUAUGGACAACUGCUCCGUUAUUUUAACAAUAUGAAGACUCAACACUUCCACUACUCUGCCAGCAAGUGCAAGAAAAUAUGCGCUUACACUGCACAAAUAUAGCACUCAGCAUACCGAUUUUGAGUCAUAAAAUACUUUUACUACGGCCUCUGAGUGCACAUGCUAUCAGCACACAAUCACAAACAUACAUUACAGCACAGGUUGUUUUCAGGGCGAAGUACCUCGUUUCUAUAGGCAACAAAAGCACACGUACUGUUCGAGCACACACAUGCCAGGUAUGCAAAAAUGCCCAUCCACGCAGUGCAACAAAGGCUGAAGAAUUGCACCAGUAUAUUGAUUCAGAAUAAACUGCACAUUAGCAAAUUCACAUUUGCUGUGAUAGGAAAUAACGCACCUGAUGCAAUCAAAAAGUGACCCCAGUUGUUUGACCCGGAAAACAGAACAACCAAAUGAAAUGACACCCAUGCACUGUGUAUGUACAAAAUGGCUGCUGGCACAGCAUUCUCAAAAGAGACAUCCAUACACUGACAUUGUGCUCAAUGCACGUGACCAGAUCCUCUAAGCAUAUGUUCACUCGCACAAAUAAACUUCAGAAGAACAAUGCGCCCAUUGCACAUAAUGAGCCGAAAAUGAACGCUUUGGAAGGGGGAAACAUGCUACACAAAUCCUCAUAAAAUUCAGACGCCUCAAAUGAAGGUUUCAUUUAAUAGGCCCAAUGCACUGAGUUGUGUUUUCCCUGUAGGGCUCACCACAGCACACACAACAGCGGGCUCGAGAUCCCAGCUGGCCCCACAUGGGCUUGGCACCUACAGUUCAUAAACCAGGCGUACCAUUUUAUCGCCGCCCAGACGGAGCACAAGUAUUGCUGGAUUUCAUCCCCCAGAGCUGGCUCUCAGUGUCCAGAUUGCAGUGUCAACCAGCCAAGAGACCUGCUGGAGGUUCACUGGCAGCUCUCCAAAGCUUCCCUUGACUGGGGGACCUGGGCUCAGAGCUCACAGAGAGGGCAAAUUACUGCAGCCUUCACACAGGCAUCUGCACAAGCACCCUGCCCUCCUGCUCCGCUACCUUUGUGACUGCAGGGGAGGGCAUCAGUCCCAAGUUCAUAGUAGAUCAGGUCACAAUUUGAGCCGUGAAACAACUGGAGGGGAUAAAAAGAGAGUCAGGAUCUGUGAUAACUUUACACACGGCUGAUGUAACAGAAACCAAUGCACCUAGUGAAAUGCAUCAGUGGGCAACGCCAGAGAAAGUCAGAGAAAUCACAUUUGGUGCUGCUCCCUCAGCUCUGCUCCCCCAAAGGUCACAGCCUCCUUCAGAUUGGCUCUAUAUAGCAG